rnacentral:rRNA from 1 species
AGCAGCCGCCGCGGUAAUACGUAGGUGGCAAGCGUUGUCCGGAAUUAUUGGGCGUAAAGGGCUCGCAGGCGGUUUCUUAAGUCUGAUGUGAAAGCCCCCGGCUCAGCCGGGGAGGGUCAUUGGAAACUGGGAAACUUGAGUGCAGAAGAGGAGAGUGGAAUUCCACGUGUAGCGGUGAAAUGCGUAGAGAUGUGGAGGAACACCAGUGGCGAAGGCGACUCUCUGGUCUGUAACUGACGCUGAGGAGCGAAAGCGUGGGGAGCGAACAGGAUUAGAUACCCCUGUAGUCCCUGUCUCUUAUAC